rnacentral:rRNA from 1 species
AGAGUUUGAUCCUGGCUCAGGACGAACGCUGGCGGCGUGCCUAAUACAUGCAAGUAGAACGCUGAAGAGAGGAGCUUGCUCUUCUUGGAUGAGUUGCGAACGGGUGAGUAACGCGUAGGUAACCUGCCUUGUAGCGGGGGAUAACUAUUGGAAACGAUAGCUAAUACCGCAUAACAAUGGAUGACACAUGUCAUUUAUUUGAAAGGGGCAAUUGCUCCACUACAAGAUGGACCUGCGUUGUAUUAGCUAGUAGGUGAGGUAACGGCUCACCUAGGCGACGAUACAUAGCCGACCUGAGAGGGUGAUCGGCCACACUGGGACUGAGACACGGCCCAGACUCCUACGGGAGGCAGCAGUAGGGAAUCUUCGGCAAUGGGGGCAACCCUGACCGAGCAACGCCGCGUGAGUGAAGAAGGUUUUCGGAUCGUAAAGCUCUGUUGUAAGUCAAGAACGGGUGUGAGAGUGGAAAGUUCACACUGUGACGGUAGCUUACCAGAAAGGGACGGCUAACUACGUGCCAGCAGCCGCGGUAAUACGUAGGUCCCGAGCGUUGUCCGGAUUUAUUGGGCGUAAAGCGAGCGCAGGCGGUUUGAUAAGUCUGAAGUUAAAGGCUGUGGCUCAACCAUAGUUCGCUUUGGAAACUGUCAAACUUGAGUGCAGAAGGGGAGAGUGGAAUUCCAUGUGUAGCGGUGAAAUGCGUAGAUAUAUGGAGGAACACCGGUGGCGAAAGCGGCUCUCUGGUCUGUAACUGACGCUGAGGCUCGAAAGCGUGGGGAGCGAACAGGAUUAGAUACCCUGGUAGUCCACGCCGUAAACGGUGGAUGCUGGAUGUGGGGACCAUUCCACGGUCUCCGUGUCGGAGCCAACGCGUUAAGCAUCCCGCCUGGGGAGUACGGCCGCAAGGCUAAAACUCAAAGAAAUUGACGGGGGCCCGCACAAGCGGCGGAGCAUGCGGAUUAAUUCGAUGCAACGCGAAGAACCUUACCUGGGCUUGACAUGUUCCCGACAGCCGUAGAGAUACGGUCUCCCUUCGGGGCGGGUUCACAGGUGGUGCAUGGUCGUCGUCAGCUCGUGUCGUGAGAUGUUGGGUUAAGUCCCGCAACGAGCGCAACCCUCGCCCUGUGUUGCCAGCACGUCGUGGUGGGAACUCACGGGGGACCGCCGGGGUCAACUCGGAGGAAGGUGGGGAUGACGUCAGAUCAUCAUGCCCCUUACGUCCAGGGCUUCACGCAUGCUACAAUGGCCGGUACAACGGGAUGCGACACUGUGAGGUGGAGCGGAUCCCUUAAAACCGGUCUCAGUUCGGAUUGGAGUCUGCAACCCGACUCCAUGAAGGCGGAGUCGCUAGUAAUCGCGGAUCAGCAACGCCGCGGUGAAUGCGUUCCCGGGCCUUGUACACACCGCCCGUCAAGUCAUGAAAGUGGGUAGCACCCGAAGCCGGUGGCCCAACCUUUUGGGGGGAGCCGUCUAAGGUGAGACUCGUGAUUGGGACUAAGUCGUAACAAGGUAGCCGUACCGGAAGGUGCGGCUG